rnacentral:rRNA from 1 species
AUUGAACGCUGGCGGCAGGCUUAACACAUGCAAGUCGAGCGGAGAUGAGGUGCUUGCACCUUAUCUUAGCGGCGGACGGGUGAGUAAUGCUUAGGAAUCUGCCUAUUAGUGGGGGACAACAUUCCGAAAGGAAUGCUAAUACCGCAUACGUCCUACGGGAGAAAGCAGGGGAUCUUCGGACCUUGCGCUAAUAGAUGAGCCUAAGUCGGAUUAGCUAGUUGGUGGGGUAAAGGCCUACCAAGGCGCCGAUCUGUAGCGGGUCUGAGAGGAUGGUGCGCGACACUGGGAACGAGACACGGCCCAGACUCCUCCGGGAGGCAGCAGUGGGGGAUGUUGGACAAUGGGGGGAACCCUGCUCCAGCCAUGCCGGGGGUGUGAAGAAGGCGUUAUGGUUUUAAAGCACUUUAAGCUAGGUGGAGGCUGCUGAGACUAAUACUCUUGGAUAGUGGACGUUACUCGCAGAAUAAGCACCGGCUAACUCUGUGCCAGCCGCCGCCGUAAGAC